UGAUCCAUGUACUGAGUCAGAGAUGUCAAUCCUUGAGGAAAGGAAGACGAGUCACUGUAUUUCCCAUGCUAUCAUCUCCUGCUUUCUUUGGAGACAACAUUUUUUUGGUGGAUCUUCGAGGAAGUAUCUGAAGACGAGGGUUAAGGUGAGUGCCGAGAUUCUCCACCGCGAGUUGAUAACUCUCUACCAGCUCUAGCUGCCGGACUAUUAUGUCUGACCGUCUUGGAAGAAGCUCCACCGGUUCACCUCCUGGGAUGACUAUGUAUUCGAUUGCUAGACGUACCUCCUGCAUUACAGAAACAUGGACUAGAUCAGUUACUACACUGGCAAGUGCCUAAACUAUAUUCAGUGUAAACCAUAUUGAGCCUUUUGUACAUGAGACUGUUUAAAUUCAGUGAACUAAGAGAUAUUAGUUUUACCUCGAGGGCAUCAAGUUCUUCUAAACUGGGUUUGCUCUCUGGAGCAUCAUCGUUGAUCUCAAUAUCAUCAACAGAAGACUUCUUCUCUAUGGUUAUAGGGGCUGAGCCAAACGAUUCUCUCCCAAGGAUCAUUCGAACUGCCUUGACCAUCUGAGCCAUUGUAGUUGACUGCAAGGUAAAAACAUGAAGAAGGAAAUGGAUCUAACUAGUGAAACAUAGGAAUACUCUAAAUCAUCAUUAUCAUCAGUCAUCAUACAAGAAGAAGGAUACCUUGAUGACAAAUAUCGGCAGCUUGUGUAAUUUGGCAACACGGCGGAUCGAGGGAUUCUGUUUCAGUUCAGAACUUGAGGCUAGAAUGACAUCUGCUUCUCCAACGUCAUCUGUCACUUCUAUGUCGUCUUCCAGUCCCAUCACUUCGGCUACUUGAAGGAGAUCAGCUUCGGCGACCUAAAUCACAGUAAUAUAGUUAGUAUCUUUCGCUCUUUAAGAUCAAGAUUACUUUCCAAUGAGGGGUUCCUUACAUUGUAAGUAUAAACAUGAACAGGUGAACUUCUUUGGCUCACGGAUAUGUUUCUGCUAGCCUUCUUAUACCGAGAGGGAAGGAAGUCUUCAUCUUCGUCGUCAGAGAGCACUUCACUUGCAAAAUCUAUGUUGAGCAGUGGUGCAGGCUCCACUUCAAGGCUCUCCAGAGGAAUGGGAGUCACUAGCUUAUGAGGAACAUCGUCUUCGCCACGAAUCUGACGGAUCUCACAUGGAGCGGACUUCCCUAUAAUAACAAAAAAAGUUGUUCAGUUUGGAUUCACUAUGAAGGGGGAAACUGUUUUAAAGUUAACUUACCAGCAAGUAUAGCAUCAACAGUGACAUCUAGCCGUUGAUGAACACGGCACUCCGUUCUCGAAAUCAUCUCUACAGCACAAGUAAACGUUGGUGGUCCUUUUCUUUCGAGAAUUGUCUUCUGCACUUGUCGUUUCCUUGCUUCUUCAUCACCAAGAGUCACACUCUGUUUAAAAAAAAAUUCAAUUUAAUGUCCACUCUUACAAUAAAAGAGCAAAAGAAGAAGAAGGUUGAAGUCUAAGGUCACAACCUCAAUACCACCAAUAAGGAUCUGCAAUGAUGGAUUCUUGAUGAUGUUGUCAAUAGUCAUCCCAUGAGCAGUUGCAACAAGCUGGACUCCUCUCUGAGCAAUAGUGCUAGCAGCUAAUGCCUCAAGCUCUGUUCCUAUCUCAUCUAUAAUUAUAGUCUCAGGCAUGUGAUUCUCAACCGCCUCAAUCAUAACCUGUGUGAGAGAUUAAGAUUCUUUUCAUUCCAUCUCGCAACAUAUACUUUUAUCACAAAGGUCAAGAGUUCAUAGAACGUACAUCGUGCUGCAAAUUCACAUUUGGAACUUGCAUCCGCCUAGCACGGCCGAUUCCAGAAUGAGGAACAUCGCCAUCACCACCAAUCUCAUUUGACGUGUCGACAAUCACCACACGUUUCCUGUGCUCAUCAGCUAGCAUCCGUGCGAUUUCUCUGUAACAUCACAAUCGCAUUAGGUGAACAUCAUUCAUUACAUUAAAGUUCAUUAAUAAACAAACGUACCUGAUUAAAGUUGUUUUGCCAACACCAGGAGAACCAAUGACCAAGAUUGAUCCUCCUCCCUCUAUCAAGUCUCUUAUGAUCUCUGCACUUCCAGACACAGCUCUACCAACUCUACAUGUUAGACCAAUUAUUUGCAGUUUCCGGUUACGUAUAGCGCUUAUACGAUGCAACGAUCUGUUAAUCCCCGACCGGUUAUCAUCCGAAAAAUCACCAACCUAUAAUUGAAAAGUAAUUGAAAAAGCUAAAAAUAUUUGAUAAGUGAGUUUGCGUGUGAUAAGAGAUCAAAGACACGCACACACCUUUGAUACGGCAAGCUUCAGAUCUUGCUGUGUGACAGGCAUCUCCGAGAUCACCCAAUCGCCGGAAGGGAAUCGAGCGAGUGGCUUUCUCCCUAAAUCCAUCACUACUUCGAUCAAUUCCCCGAUCGCCUCGUGCUUAACGAGCUCUUUCCGAGUCGCCGGAGGGAGGAUCUCGAGGAAAGCGUCGAGCUCCACCACCGUUGGAGGCGACGGCGGCGUCUUCCGAGAUGAGGAGCUUUCUGAAGGUAGCUGAACGUCGAAGGUGAAUCCAUCAGACGGUUUCCGUAGUGGAGACGGUGAAGCAGGAGACUUCGACGAUGCGAUCCUCUGACGCGCGCCACGUGUUCGACGGAAUGAGGAGGAGGAGGAGUCGGAUGAGAAGGCGGUUGCGGUGGCGGAGAUCAACCGUCGCGAAUAUUAUUUACGAAGACUUUUACAGUGAAUGUACAAUGUUCAAGCAUGUCUCCAAUGUAUAUAUGAUCCAUGUACUGAGUCAGAGAUGUCAAUCCUUGAGGAAAGGAAGACGAGUCACUGUAUUUCCCAUGCUAUCAUCUCCUGCUUUCUUUGGAGACAACAUUUUUUUGGUGGAUCUUCGAGGAAGUAUCUGAAGACGAGGGUUAAGGUGAGUGCCGAGAUUCUCCACCGCGAGUUGAUAACUCUCUACCAGCUCUAGCUGCCGGACUAUUAUGUCUGACCGUCUUGGAAGAAGCUCCACCGGUUCACCUCCUGGGAUGACUAUGUAUUCGAUUGCUAGACGUACCUCCUGCAUUACAGAAACAUGGACUAGAUCAGUUACUACACUGGCAAGUGCCUAAACUAUAUUCAGUGUAAACCAUAUUGAGCCUUUUGUACAUGAGACUGUUUAAAUUCAGUGAACUAAGAGAUAUUAGUUUUACC
rnacentral:lncRNA from 1 species